UACGUAGGGCGCAAGCGUUAUCCGGAAUUAUUGGGCGUAAAGAGCUCGUAGGCGGUUUGUCGCGUCUGCUGUGAAAGACCGGGGCUCAACCUCGGAUCGGCCGUGGCGACUCGUGGGCUGGAGCACUGUAGAGGCGGGUGGAAUUCCGGGUGUAGCGGUGGAAUGCGUAGAGAUCCGGAAGAACACCAGUGGCGAAGGCGGCCCGCUGGGCAGUGGCUGACGCUGAGGCGCGACAGCGUGGGGAGCAAACAGG
rnacentral:rRNA from 1 species